CAAAUACUCCAUCCGUUCCAAAACUCUUGUCGUAGAUUUGUCUAAAUACGGAUGUAUCAAGUCAUGUCUUAGUAUUAGAUACAUCCGUACAUAGACUAAUCUAGACAAGAAUUUUGGGACGGAGGGAGUACUAA
rfam:Triticum aestivum genome assembly, contig: Triticum_aestivum_CS42_TGACv1_scaffold_594681_7BS